rnacentral:tRNA from 1 species
GGAGGAGUGUCAGAGUGGUCGAUUGUGCUUCCUUGCUAAGGAAGUGAGGUGUUAAGCCUCCGGAGGUUCGAAUCCUCUCUCCUCCGCCA